rnacentral:tRNA from 1 species
GCAGUCGUGACCGAGUGCAUAAGGCGAUGGACUAGAAAUCCAUUGGGGUCUCCCCGCACAGGUUCGAAUCCUGUCGACUGCG